UACGUAGGGGGCAAGCGUUGUCCGGAAUCAUUGGGCGUAAAGCGCGUGUAGGCGGCUCGGUAAGUCCGCUCUGAAAGUCCAGGGCUCAACCCUGGGAUGCGGGUGGAUACUGCCGGGCUCGAGUCCGGAAGAGGCGAGUGGAAUUCCCGGUGUAGCGGUGAAAUGCGCAGAUAUCGGGAGGAACACCAAUGGCGAAGGCGGCUCACUGGUCCGGUACUGACGCUGAGGUGCGAAAGCGUGGGGAGCAAACAGGG
rnacentral:rRNA from 1 species